CAAGCUGGCCACAAACAAGUGCACCGUUAGGUUUGACCUCGUGGCUUGGCUGGUGGGUCAAUGGGAGUUUUGUGCUCUGUCUCUGAGGCCAGGAGGGUGUCUGCUGAUGAGAUUCAUUAGCACAGAAGGAAACAACGUGGUAUUGUACUCGCUUAGCUUUUGCCUACCCGCAGACAACUUGGUAGUGGAAAGGUUAUAAGCCUUUGAGGAAGCUUGGCUCUGUAGGCUGUCUGUGCUGCUAUGCGGAUAACUUAUAGUCAGCAGGUAUCUUCAGGACAGAGCCUUUCUAAUGCAGCCUAUUGCAUGGAGACAACAGCUUUCAUCAGUGCUGAUGUUCUGAGAAAACGUGGGCGAAAGAAGAGCCAGACUGAAACGAAGCAUAGAAGGAUAGAUGCAGAACUGCUAGAUCUUCAGCUGUGGCUCUAGGGAUGUUACAGUCGGUACGUGUCAACUGAAUAUCCAGCUGGAGUGUCCCAGAGAGCAAGAGAGCUUCAACUUGAUAGGCUGUGUGCAUGAAGCAAAAACAACUUAUGCCCAGCUAAUUCAUUAGUCACGGUAAGAGCUCAAGGGUUAAUAUCCUACCUAGGAGGAAGGAACAAUGCAAACCCAGUGCAUGGUGCCCAGUCCCUUUUGCAUUGCCUGUGCGUCACUUCUGCAUGGAAAUGAGUGUGAAACUUUUUUCCCCCCCCCCUUGUGCUAUUAAUAAAGCUGUACACUGUGAGAGAAAAAUGAAUAACAAGAGGCUGUAGUUUUUAGGUGCCUCGACAGGAUGUUUUCUUGAUUAUCCUGUUUCUUGUAAACACUGGGAUGGCUUUUGUAGCCCAGAUGUAAAAGCAGCCUGGAUUCAUUGUUCUAACACCUGCUGUCCUUUAAAACGCACCCAGCACAACCCAUUGAUAAAAUUCAGGCUCAGAAACCUGCAGCACCAGGCUGAGCUCCGGUAGAUGGCUCAAAAAAAACCACAAACCUUUGAGAAUCUGACAUCCGCCCGAUUUUUUUUCCCCCCAUUAUAUUUGAUUUGGAGCGGGGAGGGGAAGGGAAGCUCAAGAUUAUUUUUUCCCUGCUCUUGUUCCCACAAUAGCAAUAAAAAACAAUGCUUUCUGGCUACAAGGUGGUAAAUUGUGAGAAAUAACCACAACAGCUCCCUUUUGCAGUGCAAGAGAGGGAGCCGGAUUUAUGAAUGAAACUGGUGGCUGUGGUUUUAUUUCCAGGCCUGUUCCUGCUCUCAGUAUGAUGAGAUGAAAUAAAAAAAGCCAGAGAGAAAACAGCUCCUAACUAUCGCAGUCAGGGGAAAGGCACAGCAUAGAUUUGAGUGCUACCAGUCCUUGUAAGGGAGGGGUGAAUGUUAGACUGUGGGUACCAUAGACACUCUCCUUUUGACAGACAACUGUGUGUGCAGGUGGAGAAGGUUUAUGUGCCUUAUGUUUACUGGAACGUUUCUCUAGGUAGGACUCAAGCCUGCUGUUCAGGGAGAACCUCUUUAAAACAUGUCCUAGAGCUGUAUUUCCUUGAGCCUCCUCUCACACAGGAGCUUCAUCCCAUUUACUUGAGCUUGUGUUUGCACUUGAACUGCAGUUUGCACUGUUGAUGAAGAA